UAGUUUUUGUCAAUCAAGUGUCACAAACUAUCAAAGUUUCUUGUUAUUUUCGUGAGAAUAUAUUAAUCGAGCGAAAAGUUAGCGGUAAAAGCGGAGGCAUAAAAAUUAACAAAUCUUCAUUAAGUUAUUAAGUAAAUGAAAAUCCUGUUUCAAUUUUUGAGCUCAUCUUCAAAGCAAUCUACAGCGUACGUAUCGAGCAAAAGGAGCUUAGGAAACAAAUAUCACGCGUGGGCACCGGCAACCCAAAUGCUUCAAAUUUGACAGGAUGUCUAGCCGAAGACUUGGCUGGAAAAUAUGAUUUGGAGUUGCCAAUAAUUCAAAAACAUGGACGAAAUGAUCCUCAACGAUCAAACAUUCCGCAGAAAAUUUAAACGGAUGGUAGAAAAGAAGCAGAAUUUGGUUUCAACAGUAAACUCCAUUCCUUUCCUUCUGAUCUUAAAAU